GACAGCUCAGUUGAUUAGAGCGUGGUGCUGAUAACACCAAGGUUGCAAGUUCAAUCCCUGUAUGGGACA